AUGCACGCUGGCGGCGUGCCUCAUCCAUGCAAGUCGCGCGAACAGACGAGGAGCUUGCUCCUCUGACGUUAGCGGCGGACGGGUGAGUAACACGUGGAUAACCUACCUAUAAGACUGGGAUAACUUCGGGAAACCGGAGCUAAUACCGGAUAAUAUAUUGAACCGCAUGGUUCAAUAGUGAAAGACGGUUUUGCUGUCACUUAUAGAUGGAUCCGCGCCGCAUUAGCUAGUUGGUAAGGUAACGGCUUACCAAGGCGACGAUGCGUAGCCGACCUGAGAGGGUGAUCGGCCACACUGGAACUGAGACACGGUCCAGACUCCUACGGGAGGCAGCAGUAGGGAAUCUUCCGCAAUGGGCGAAAGCCUGACGGAGCAACGCCGCGUGAGUGAUGAAGGCCUUCGGAUCGUAAAACUCUGUUAUUAGGGAAGAACAAAUGUGUAAGUAACUAUGCACGUCUUGACGGUACCUAAUCAGAAAGCCACGGCUAACUACGUG
rnacentral:rRNA from 1 species